UGGGGAAUUUUGGACAAUGGGCGAAAGCCUGAUCCAGCAAUGCCGCGUGUGUGAAGAAGGCCUUCGGGUUGUAAAGCACUUUUGUCCGGAAAGAAAUCCUUGGCUCUAAUACAGUCGGGGGAUGACGGUACCGGAAGAAUAAGCACCGGCUAACUACGUGCCAGCAGCCGCGGUAAUACGUAGGGUGCAAGCGUUAAUCGGAAUUACUGGGCGUAAAGCGUGCGCAGGCGGUUUGCUAAGACCGAUGUGAAAUCCCCGGGCUCAACCUGGGAACUGCAUUGGUGACUGGCAGGCUAGAGUAUGGCAGAGGGGGGUAGAAUUCCACGUGUAGCAGUGAAAUGCGUAGAGAUGUGGAGGAAUACCGAUGGCGAAGGCAGCCCCCUGGGCCAAUACUGACGCUCAUGCACGAAAGCGUGGGGAGCAAACAGGAUUAGAUACCCUGGUAGUCCACGCCCUAAACGAUGUCAACUAGUUGUUGGGGACUUCAUUUCCUUAGUAACGUAGCUAACGCGUGAAGUUGACCGCCUGGGGAGUACGGUCGCAAGAUUAAAACUCAAAUGAAUUGACGGGGU
rnacentral:rRNA from 1 species